UUUCAAUAAUCUUCUUUUAUUUUAAUGAAACCAGUAAACUUAACACGAUUCAUUAUUAAUUUUCCAGCGCCACUUUUAUCCAGCGCCAAGGGGCUAAGCCCCUAAAGCCCAUCGUGUUAAUCCGGCUCUGACUAA